rnacentral:rRNA from 1 species
UACGUAGGGGGCAAGCGUUGUCCGGAAUCAUUGGGCGUAAAGAGCGUGUAGGCGGUCCGGUCAGUCGGUUGUGAAAGUCAAGGGCUCAACCCUUGAAUGCCGGCCGAUACUGCCGGGCUAGAGUCCGGAAGAGGUGAGUGGAACUCCUGGUGUAGCGGUGAAAUGCGCAGAUAUCAGGAAGAACACCAAUGGCGAAGGCAGCUCACUGGGACGGUACUGACGCUGAGACGCGAAAGCGUGGGGAGCAAACAGG